rnacentral:tRNA from 1 species
GUCGGGAUAGCUCAGCUGGUAAAGCAGAGGACUGAAAAU